GUCGAGCGAACAGACGAGGAGCUUGCUCCUCUGACGUUAGCGGCGGACGGGUGAGUAACACGUGGAUAACCUACCUAUAAGACUGGGAUAACUUCGGGAAACCGGAGCUAAUACCGGAUAAUAUAUUGAACCGCAUGGUUCAAUAGUGAAAGACGGUUUUGCUGUCACUUAUAGAUGGAUCCGCGCCGCAUUAGCUAGUUGGUAAGGUAACGGCUUACCAAGGCGACGAUGCGUAGCCGACCUGAGAGGGUGAUCGGCCACACUGGAACUGAGACACGGUCCAGACUCCUACGGGAGGCAGCAGUAGGGAAUCUUCCGCAAUGGGCGAAAGCCUGACGGAGCAACGCCGCGUGAGUGAUGAAGGUCUUCAGAUCGUCAAACUCUGUUAUUAGGGAAGAACAAAUGUGUAAGUAACUAUGCACGUCUUGACGGUACCUAAUCAGAAAGCCACGGCUAACUACGUGCCAGCAGCCGCGGUAAUACGUAGGUGGCAAGCGUUAUCCGGAAUUAUUGGGCGUAAAGCGCGCGUAGGCGGUUUUUUAAGUCUGAUGUGAAAGCCCACGGCUCAACCGUGGAGGGUCAUUGGAAACUGGAAAACUUGAGUGCAGAAGAGGAAAGUGGAAUUCCAUGUGUAGCGGUGAAAUGCGCAGAGAUAUGGAGGAACACCAGUGGCGAAGGCGACUUUCUAGUCUGUAACUGACGCUGAUGUGCGAA
rnacentral:rRNA from 1 species